GCCUCUGUAGCUCAGUUGGUUAGAGCGCUGCUCCGGAAUCGCAGGGCCGUAGGUUCGAUUCCUACCAGAGAGG
rnacentral:tRNA from 1 species